rnacentral:misc_RNA from 1 species
UUUGGACAAUCAAAUUUCCUAAAGGGGUGAACAAAACAAUUGAAGAAAUGGUUCCACAAGGUUUUCUUGAAAGUACAAAGGGAAAAGGGAUGGUUAUUGAAGGAUGGGCACCACAAAGUCUAAUUUUGAACCAUUCAAGCAUUGGAGGUUUUAUAACUCAUUGUGGAUGGAACUCGAUUUUAGAAAGCAUGAGUUUUGGCAUACCAAUAAUAGCCAUGCCUAUGAAUCAUGAUCAACCAUUGAAUUCAAGAUUAGUGGAGGAACUUGGCAUAGGGGUGGAGAUUUUGAGAGGUGAAAAUGGGAAAAUAAUGAAAGAAGAGG